rnacentral:rRNA from 1 species
CAUAUCAAUAAGCGGAGGAAAAGAAACCAACAGGGAUUGCCCUAGUAACGGCGAGUGAAGCGGCAACAGCUCAAAUUUGAAAUCUGGCUUUCGGGCCCGAGUUGUAAUUUGUAGAGGAUACUUUUGAUGCGGUGCCUUCCGAGUUCCCUGGAACGGGACGCCAUAGAGGGUGAGAGCCCCGUCUGGUUGGAUGCCAAAUCUCUGUAAAGUUCCUUCGACGAGUCGAGUAGUUUGGGAAUGCUGCUCUAAAUGGGAGGUAUAUGUCUUCUAAAGCUAAAUAUUGGCCAGAGACCGAUAGCGCACAAGUAGAGUGAUCGAAAGAUGAAAAGCACUUUGAAAAGAGAGUUAAAAAGUACGUGAAAUUGUUGAAAGGGAAGCGUUUAUGACCAGACUUGGACUUGGUUAAUCAUCUGGGGUUCUCCCCAGUGCACUUUUCCAGUUCAGGCCAGCAUCAGUUUUCGCCGGGGGAUAAAGGCUUCGGGAAUGUAGCUCUCUUCGGGGAGUGUUAUAGCCCGUUGUGUAAUACCCUGGCGGAGACUGAGGUUCGCGCUUCUGCAAGGAUGCUGGCGUAAUGGUCAUCAACGACCCGUCUUGAAACACGGACCAAGGAGUCGUCUUCGUAUGCGAGUGUUCGGGUGUCAAACCCCUACGCGUAAUGAAAGUGAACGCAGGUGAGAGCUUCGGCGCAUCAUCGACCGAUCCUGAUGUUCUCGGAUGGAUUUGAGUAAGAGCAUACGGGGCCGGACCCGAAAGAAGGUGAACUAUGCCUGUAUAGGGUGAAGCCAGAGGAAACUCUGGUGGAGGCUCGCAGCGGUUCUGACGUGCAAAUCGAUCGUCAAAUAUGGGCAUGGGGGCGAAAGACUAAUCGAACCUUCUAGUAGCUGGUUUCCGC